GCCAGCCUGGCGUAGAGGUUUGAGGGUUGGACUAGGACUCUGGAGGCCAGAGUUCAAUUCCCUGUUCAGUCA